rnacentral:rRNA from 1 species
UACGGGGGGGCAAGCGUUGUUCGGAAUUACUGGGCGUAAAGGGCUCGUAGGCGGCCAACUAAGUCAGACGUGAAAUCCCUCGGCUUAACCGGGGAACUGCGUCUGAUACUGGAUGGCUUGAGGUUGGGAGAGGGAUGCGGAAUUCCAGGUGUAGCGGUGAAAUGCGUAGAUAUCGGGAGGAACACCUGUGGCGAAAGCGGCUCACUGGACCACAACUGACGCUGAGGCGCGAAAGCUAGGGGAGCAAACAGG